AUACGGAGGAUCCGAGCGUUAUCCGGAUUUAUUGGGUUUAAAGGGUGCGUAGGUGGUUUGAUAAGUCAGCGGUGAAAGUUUGCAGCUUAACUGUAAAAAUGCCGUUGAAACUGUCGGACUUGAGUGUAAAUGAGGUAGGCGGAAUGCGUGGUGUAGCGGUGAAAUGCAUAGAUAUCACGCAGAACUCCGAUUGCGAAGGCAGCAUACUAAGCUACAACUGACACUGAAGCACGUAAGCAUGGGGAUCAAACAGGAUUAGAUACCCUGGUAGUCCAAGCAGUAAACGAUGAUUACUAGCUGUUUGCGAUAGACAGUAAGCGGCACAGCGAAAGCGUUAAGUAAUCCACCUGGGGAGUACGCCAGUAACGGGGAAACUUAAAGGAACUGAAAGGU
rnacentral:rRNA from 1 species